rnacentral:rRNA from 1 species
GACGAACGCUGGCGGCGUGCUUAACACAUGCAAGUCGAACGGCAAGGCCCUGCUUUUUUGCUGUUCUCGAGUGGCGAACGGGUGAGUAUCACGUGAGUAACCUGCCCUUCACUUUGGUAUAACUUCACGAAACUGGGGCUAAUACCGUAUCGGAUCUCCUGCUGCAUGGUGGGGGUUGGAUAUUUUCGGCGGGUGGGGUUGGACUCGCGGCUUAUCAGCUUGUUGGUGGGGGAGUGGCUUACCCAGGCUUUGACGGGUAGCCGGCCUGUGAGGGUGACCGGCGACAAUGGGACUGAGAGACGGACCAGACGGGAACGGGAGGCAGAAGUGGGGAGUAUUACACAAUGGGAGGAAGUGUGAUGAAGAAACGUCGGGGGCGGGAAGACGGCCUGCGGGGUGAAAACAGCUGUAGGCUGAGACAAAGCGGGAGUGACGGUAACGGGUAAAGAAGCACCGGCUAACUACGUG